AUUGAACGCUGGCGGCAGGCCUAACACAUGCAAGUCGAACGGUAACAGGAAGAAGCUUGCUUCUUUGCUGACGAGUGGCGGACGGGUGAGUAAUGUCUGGGAAACUGCCUGAUGGAGGGGGAUAACUACUGGAAACGGUAGCUAAUACCGCAUAACGUCGCAAGACCAAAGAGGGGGACCUUCGGGCCUCUUGCCAUCGGAUGUUCCCAGAUGGGAUUAGCUAGUAGGUGGGGUAACGGCUCACCUAGGCGACGAUCCCUAGCUGGUCUGAGAGGAUGACCAGCCGCACUGGAACUGAGACACGGUCCAGACUCCUACGGGAGGCAGCAGUGGGGAAUAUUGCACAAUGGGCGCAAGCCUGAUGCAGCCAUGCCGCGUGUAUGAAGAAGGCCUUCGGGUUGUAAAGUACUUUCAGCGGGGAGGAAGGGAGUAAAGUUAAUACCUUUGCUCAUUGACGUUACCCGCAGAAGAAGCACCGGCUAACUCCGUG
rnacentral:rRNA from 1 species